rnacentral:rRNA from 1 species
CGAGAAUCAUUCACACUGGGGGAAACGCUGAUGGUGCGACGCCGCGUGGAGGACGAAGGCCCUAGGGUCGUAAACUCCUGUCAUCAGAGCGUAAGGAUUGUACACUAACACGGUGCACGCUUGAUAGUAUCUGACGAGGACGGGACGGCUAACUCCGUGCCAGCAGCCGCGGUAAUACGGAGGUCCCAAGCGUUAUUCGGAAUCACUGGGCGUAAAGCGUGUGUAGGCGGUUUGGUAAGUCAGAUGUGAAAGGCAGGAGCUCAACUCCUGGACUGCAUCCGAUACUGCCAUACUAGAGGAUCGAAGGGGAGUCUGGAAUUCAUGGUGUAGCAGUGAAAUGCGUAGAUAUCAUGAGGCACACUAGUGGCGAAGGCGAGACUCUGGGAGAUACCUGACGCUGAGACACGAAGGCCAGGGGAGCGAACA